GACGAACGCUUGCGGCGUGCCUAAUACAUGCAAGUAGAACGCUGAAGAGAGGAGCUUGCUCUUCUUGGAUGAGUUGCGAACGGGUGAGUAACGCGUAGGUAACCUGCCUUGUAGCGGGGGAUAACUAUUGGAAACGAUAGCUAAUACCGCAUAACAAUGGAUGACCCAUGUCAUUUAUUUGAAAGGGGCAAAUGCUCCACUACAAGAUGGACCUGCGUUGUAUUAGCUAGUAGGUGAGGUAACGGCUCACCUAGGCGACGAUACAUAGCCGACCUGAGAGGGUGAUCGGCCACACUGGGACUGAGACACGGCCCAGACUCCUACGGGAGGCAGCAGUAGGGAAUCUUCGGCAAUGGGGGCAACCCUGACCGAGCAACGCCGCGUGAGUGAAGAAGGUUUUCGGAUCGUAAAGCUCUGUUGUAAGUCAAGAACGAGUGUGAGAGUGGAAAGUUCACACUGUGACGGUAGCUUACCAGAAAGGGACGGCUAACUACGUGCCAGCAGCCGCGGUAAUACGUAGGUCCCGAGCGUUGUCCGGAUUUAUUGGGCGUAAAGCGAGCGCAGGCGGUUUGAUAAGUCUGAAGUUAAAGGCUGUGGCUCAACCAUAGUUCGCUUUGGAAACUGUCAAACUUGAGUGCAGAAGGGGAGAGUGGAAUUCCAUGUGUAGCGGUGAAAUGCGUAGAUAUAUGGAGGAACACCGGUGGCGAAAGCGGCUCUCUGGUCUGUAACUGACGCUGAGGCUCGAAAGCGUGGGGAGCGAACAGGAUUAGAUACCCUGGUAGUCCACGCCGUAAACGAUGAGUGCUAGGUGUUGGAUCCUUUCCGGGAUUCAGUGCCGCAGCUAACGCAUUAAGCACUCCGCCUGGGGAGUACGACCGCAAGGUUGAAACUCAAAGGAAUUGACGGGGGCCCGCACAAGCGGUGGAGCAUGUGGUUUAAUUCGAAGCAACGCGAAGGACCUUACCAGGUCUUGACAUCCCGAUGCUAUUUCUAGAGAUAGAAAGUUACUUCGGUACAUCGGUGACAGGUGGUGCAUGGUUGUCGUCAGCUCGUGUCGUGAGAUGUUGGGUUAAGUCCCGCAACGAGCGCAACCCCUAUUGUUAGUUGCCAUCAUUCAGUUGGGCACUCUAGCGAGACUGCCGGUAAUAAACCGGAGGAAGGUGGGGAUGACGUCAAAUCAUCAUGCCCCUUAUGACCUGGGCUACACACGUGCUACAAUGGUUGGUACAACGAGUUGCGAGUCGGCGACGGCAAGCUAAUCUCUUAAAGCCAAUCUCAGUUCGGAUUGUAGGCUGCAACUCGCCUACAUGAAGUCGGAAUCGCUAGUAAUCGCGGAUCAGCACGCCGCGGUGAAUACGUUCCCGGGCCU
rnacentral:rRNA from 1 species